AAGUACGCUGCUUCCCAUUCAAGUUGGCUUGUAGCUAGCAAUUAGGACACUGUUCAGAAGAGGAAGGAAUUUGAAUUUGAUCUCUCUGAGGCAAGGACAAGAACUGAACCUUGGUUUCCACAUCUGAGUGACCUCCCACCAUCGAAGAGUUGGAAAGAUAUCUUGUAAAGGGGGUAAUUCAGAUGUUGACAUCUACCACAAAGGCACCUAAAGUUGGUGAGAUGCCAACUGGGUUGUUGACGGAUGCCUAUUCAUCCCACCUUGGCAGUGUCAGUGGCUGUGUAUGAAGUAUCUGCUGCUAAAGAACAUCUUUGGAAGCAGCCAACCAAGAUUCAUCUGUAACGACUGCAUGAGCUGCACUUCCAUCUCUCCAGAUCAACUGAAGAACAGUGCAGUUUUCCUGCCAAUCAUCCCAGAAAUGCAUAAGAAAAGAUUUAUAUGUCCAUACAUACUGUCUAAAUACUUUUGUGUAUGAAACUCAUUCUCAGAAUUAAUUUGUCUGGUGGCCUGGAAAAUGCCAGUUGUCCCACAUGUAAUGAGGAUAAACGAAAAGUUACUUCUU